rnacentral:rRNA from 1 species
CCUCAGUAACGGCGAGUGAAGCGGCAACAGCUCAAAUUUGAAAUCUGGCCGUCCUGCGGUCCGAGUUGUAAUUUGUAGAGGAUGCUUCGGGUGCGGCGCCGGUCUAAGUUCCUUGGAACAGGACGUCAUAGAGGGUGAGAAUCCCGUAUGUGACCGGUGACCCAGCCCGUGUGAAGCUCCUUCGACGAGUCGAGUUGUUUGGGAAUGCAGCUCUAAAUGGGUGGUAAAUUUCAUCUAAAGCUAAAUACCGGCCAGAGACCGAUAGCGCACAAGUAGAGUGAUCGAAAGAUGAAAAGCACUUUGGAAAGAGAGUUAAAAAGUACGUGAAAUUGUUGAAAGGGAAGCGCUUGCCCCCAGACUUGCUCGCGGGUGAUCAGCCGUCCUUCUGGGCGGUGCACUCGCCCGCGAUCAGGCCAGCACCGGUUUGGGCGGUCGGAUAAAGGCCCCGGGAAUGUGGCUCCCUCCGGGGAGUGUUAUAGCCCGGGGUGCAAUGCGGCCAGCCGGGACCGAGGACCGCGCUUCGGCUAGGAUGCUGGCGUAAUGGGUGCAAGCGACCCGUCUUGAAACACGGACCAAGGAGUCUAACAUCUAUGCGAGUGUUUGGGUGUCAAACCCAUGCGCGCAAUGAAAGUGAACGGAGGUGGGACCCCUCAAGGGUGCACCAUCGACCGAUCCUGAUGUCUUCGGAUGGAUUUGAGUAAGAGCAUAGCUGUUGGGACCCGAAAGAUGGUGAACUAUGCCUGAAUAGGGUGAAGCCAGAGGAAACUCUGGUGGAGGCUCGCAGCGGUUCUGACGUGCAAAUCGAUCGUCAAAUUUGGGUAUAGGGGCGAAAG